GCCGGGCGGAGACCGGGUCGGGCCAAGCGCCGUCUGCCCGGCGCCGCGCUCCCCGCGCCCGCGCCGCCUCCCGGGGCGCCGCAGAGACAGCCAGAAGUCGAGAGGAAGGGGGAAACAAUGAAAGAGACAGACACCUGCAGCACUGAUUCAUCACUUGCAAAGCUUUCCACCUGCAGACGCUGGGAGCUUUAUGGGUCUGCGUGGCUGCAAACUGGAGCCCCUACUAAGGGCCAGGCAGGCUGACUUCGUAGGCCAGACCUGAGUAUCAGCCUUGUGUAGGAAGAAAGAGAUCACAUUACUGAGACUGUCUACAGGGUAACCUCUGCAUCAAAGAAGCCAGAUACAAAACAAUACGUACAUUUUAAAUUAAGAAAAAAAAUUGUUUUUCCCAACAAAGCACUGCUCUGCUCUAUUUGAUAGUGGUGCUAAGGAUUGAACCUGGGACCUCAGAGCCUCAGGAAUAAAAGUUGUUUGCAUAACCA